CGGAAAACGCCAAAAUUUCAAUUUCGCCAAUUCAAGCCUAAACCUUCCAUGGACUUUUAAAAUGCAUUCUAAUCCUGCUCCUAAGUCCCAAAUCACCUAACGGAACUAACCAAAUCAUAAAAAUUNNNNNNNNNNNNNNNNNNNNNNNNNAUUUACAUAAGUCAUAAUCCAUCACACGGGGCAAGUCAUGCCUGAGAACUGACAAGCAAGGUGCAAAAUCUCAAAACAACCGGUCAGGUCGUUACAUCCUCCCCUACUUAAACAUACGUUCGUCCUCGAACGUGCCCAGAGUUGUUCCAAAAGCCAAGCAAUCACUGAAUAACCUUACCAUGCACAUACCCGGGGGUGAUCCCACGUCACCCUAUCUCGUAUAGGUCCGAUAACACAAUGUAACUAAAAUUUCACAGUCCAACCUAGCCCAUGAACCUUAGAACCACAUUUCCACUUCUGAAAUCAUCCACAAGAUCAAAAUCUCACAUCUAUACUCUAACUAAGCCCGAACAAGCUUUAAUAACCCAUACCCGCAACCUCGGUGCAAUUACAUGAUAUACCACAUAACUCAAAUGCUUGCAGCGAUAACUUCUAAUCACAGCAGCUGCACACAACCACCGAAUAUCGAUAGAAAACCUCUUAUCAACUAAAGUCUCAUUCCAACACUUUCAUAAAUUGUCAAUGAUAAAUGAAACACGCAGUAAGACAUAACCGUUUUCUCAGAUCAACAAGGUAAAAACCCACUUCUCCUUUGGCAAAUACCAUCGCAAAUUUCUGCGCCGAACCUCGAUGUUAUCCUUCCAACAUGCUGAAAUUAAAUCCGUUUGUAGUCAUUAAAGAUCCCGACGAUCUCAUCUAAUCCAACAAAACUACUCUGGUGACAUUGACAUAUCAAUACAGACUAAAGCCACAACUUGUGCAAUCUAUGCACCAAUAAGUCACAAUCCGAACUUACUCAAAUCAUGAAAAGGACUCAAAUGAAAGAGUUGUACCGCAAGCUCACUAGUACCACCACAACACAAGGCUGAGAACCCGCCAUACAUUGUAGAAACAGAAUACACGAAUCUAACCCCGCAGGAUCAUACUUCCACAUAGCUUUGCUCCAAUGCGCGACCUCAUCAAAACACUGGUCCACAUGAGACACCUUAAGUUACUAUGCUCAAAAGCGAAAAUCGUGCACAAUAUGAUGUCUACAACUAAAGCAAUCAUCAUAACCACCGCAAGGAAAUUACAUAAAACCACACAACUCAAAAGGACAUAACCGAUACGCCAUCCACCGAGCGAUACCCAGUGCUCUUCCCCCUCGAAUUCCACUGAGAGGCCCUAAUAACACCGCACCACAUUCCAACAAAUCAUAACGUCUCGUAACACAGAAAAGUAAUUCAUAAAUCCCCCUGAUUACUAAUAGCUCCAUAAUAACCGAAUCAACAUACCCCUCACCAAUGGCAACUCGAAGUCAACAAAGCCGUUUCGAUGCAAAACACGCAUCCAUAUAGGUCUACCAAUGAACCACACAUCAACUCUAGUCACACACAUCAGAUAAAUAAUCCUUCGAAGGUUCACAAUGACUGAAUCAUAGCACACACUAUCAUCUGACUAACUUACCGACAUCUUUACCGUCCACAACCACGAGCUAACCUAUUUAUGAGAACUUUUAGUCUCGCAGUCCGUAAAGCAUACGAAUUACCAUAUCUGAACCCAAUUUCGCCGCUCGAAUAUACAACAUACCUCUAAUACUCAAUCAUUCCACGAGAGGUACACCUAUAAUUCUUCUAUGCCACCUAGCCAACUUGAAUACCAUCAGAUAAGAUAGUGCCGAAAUGCCAAUAAAGCAUCCAUAACUCAAACACAUCGCCCUUUCUGAAAUGUAUACCCUCAUCAAGCCACACCAAUCAGUAAUCUCAUUUAUCUAGUCACCUGAAGCUACCCAUGCUAUCUAAGAAUUUGUGACCUUCCUUUCAAAUCUGAAUCGUGUCCUUACACAUGCAAAUUUCAAUCCUACACAACAUACCGCAUAAACCGUACCAUCCUAGGAUAACCACGGGAACUUCAUAUCCCUUCCGAUCCACAAAUAACUAUGUACUCCACUAGCCAAGAACUUCCCAUUGAUCCCAUCUAGAAGAAAAUAACUAUACAUCCCAUGCUCCUCACGCCAAUAGGAAAAAUAUACCCCUCUAGCUGUGGUGGAAACCAUCUAGGACUCUACGGAUUCCAUUUGCACAACUCUAAAUCAUCAGGAGUGAGUCCUUCUAACUCAACCGAGCUACGCAGGUCACUAAAACCCAAAAGAAUUGUCGCGUAACACAUGUAGAACUCAUUAUCUCGUAAGCAUCCAAGAACUAAUCAUAUCCUUACCAUACCGACUCGGCCUACUACCAAGCUAUCCCAUCUAUCUGAGUUCCUUUCUGAUUUACCUUCAACUUGAUACUCCUUCUUGCUAUAACAUUACAAUUCCUCAACCCAGACUUACCACACGAGACCCAAGCAUAAAUCCACACUGUCUUACGGUCCAUAAGCCGCUGAAUACUCUCUAGAUAUUCCCAACAGCACCACGUUCAAAAUGCUUACCCUGAAGAGACUUCCUAUGAAUCCAAAGCCAUUACUUUAACCUCCCUGAUACUGAUAUAUAAAAUCCCAUAAUUAAUAUAGAAAAUACCAUAAGUCUUGACAUCUUCCAAUGAAAACUCAGUUUCUAGCCACAUAAACAACUUCAAAAUACCCAAUUGUUACAUGUAAAAGCUUGAACACAUUAGAACCAUUCUCGAGAAUCAUUCACUCUAUUCAAACUGCAAUUAGCCUGAUCAAAUGAACACAACCACCCGUGCCUCAAUAGCACUCCAACACCGCAGAGUGUAACCUCAUCCUAGAACAACCAAGCANNNNNNNNNNNNNNNNNNNNNNNNNGCGUGCCUCAAACUGGAACCAACAUAGCACAUAACCGUGCAAUCAACUAGUCAAUAGCGAACUCCCCCACUUGGCUCGAAGCCAUUGACCAAAACACACACAAUAACUCGUAACGCAUAUACUCUAUUGCUGCCAUAAUACCAUAGGGAGAUUUAAACUCAAUCCUUCAUAAGCGCGUGAAACACAAACCAUCUGGUACUUUAAAUCUUCUGCAAAUCUCGCAUUCAUCCUCGCAACAGUCAAGACCAAUCUCUUAAGCGGCCCAAAUUCAAAUUUCAACACUUAUAUUUCACUUCUAAAUGAGAUCUUCUAACAGACAACAUGAGGAUCACAAAACCUCAGAACACUCAACAGGAGAUAACCCACCUGCUUUACCUCCAACUAACAUUCCCGUAUACCUUCCACUGUCAUAAACAUUAUGCAGUCGCUUAAUCUUCCUCAGUCUGAACUCAUACCGCAACAUGAAAUUUACUUUACUCCCAACCAGGAAACAUGAAAAGAUUCUUCACAUGCCCAUAACUUGGGGCUAAACCUUGAAUCAAGAUGGAAAUGAAGCACCUAAUAGUUAUUCUAUCCUUCAGCAGAUCCUUCUCAUCGCUUCCAAAUCAUAUGAAUACAUAUUGUAGUCACAUCACACUCAUCACGUAACUAUCUAGUCAUUACUUCUACCAAUAGGGCACUACCAAACAUAUAAGUUCAAAAACAGUUGCUCACACAAUCAGCACCUCGAUGCUCAAGCUAUAGGAAAAAUUCAGCCUCGAGUCCUCCAAACUAGCCCAACAUCAACACACAGAGAUCACAUCUCGCCCCUCGAUCAGGGAAUCAUAAGCCAUCGAUGCACAUCCGAUACCGAGCGCUCAUACCGAGGAUAAAUACAGACGUCUCCAUACCGAUCCGCGAGACUCUACUAAACCUGCUCAUGACUCGUGAGACCUAUGUAACCUAGGCUCUGAUACCAACUUGUCAUGACCCAAAACUGACUCGGUCGUGAUGGCGCCUAUUGUGAAACUAGGCCAGCCAACACAACCCUCGAAUCAACCAUUUUCCAAUAAAAGUUAUUUUUUAUACCAUUUUUAUACCAAUAAUCUCAUAAUGAAAAUUUAAAAAAAAAGUGCAAAAUAGUUACACAAGCCCGACAUCGGGGUAUCACUAGUCAUGAGCAUCUACCUAGGUCUGAAUACAACAAGAGUCUAAAAAUGGACUAAGUACAGUAAUGAAAAAUGAGAGGAAGGAAAGCAGUAUUGUGAACGUCGUGCAGCCACCUUGCUAACCCCGACGACUCCGCCUCUAAGCAAUCAACACCAGCUACCGGGUUCCAAAAUACCUGAAUCCGCACACGAGGUGCAUGGAGUAAUGUGAGUACCCCAACCCAGUAAGUAAUAAGAGAAAAUAAAGAUUGAGCAGUAGAAAACAAUGAAUCCACAUUUAUGUUAAACUCAAUAAGCACAACAGGCUUUCAAAUCAGAAUACGAGUUAAUCGUCUCAUUUAAAAUCCAGCUUUUAAUAAAAAUCAUUUGAAAAUGCUUUCCAACAGUUUCAGUAGGGUUCAAUACUGUUUAUAAUAAAAAGAUAAAAACCAUAAUCGGCCCCUCGGGCAAAAUAGGAAUCAUAAACACCUCAUGAUAUAAAAAUCUCAGUAGAAAUAACAAAGCCAAAUCAGCGAUCGAAUUCCGAACAUCUCAUAAAAACUCCAGCUUAUAUGAAAGUUGUUUAAAAGCAUUGUUCAAUAUUUUCAACAGAGGCUCAAUAUAAAGAGGAGGGGAAACAUCAAUUACAUAAAAACAAGCCCAUCGGACAAAGAAUCACUCAUAUAUGUAUACAGCCCCUCGGGCAAGCCUCUCAGUCACUCAUGACUCAACUCUUAUCGGUCAGCGCUCACACUCAGCACUCACACUCAAUAGGUACCAUAUAGUAACCGCUGCGGCGUGCAGCCCGAUCCAUAUAUCGGCCUCUCUCAGUCAUUAACCUCACCAUCAUACCCUCGGUCUAUCUCAGUUAUUAACCUCACAAUCAGACCCUCGGUCUAUCUCAGUUAAUACCCUCACAAUCAGACCCUCGGUCUAUCUCAGUCAUCAACCUCACAAUCACUCGGACCAUUAGUAAAACAGGGAACUCAGUCCAAUCAGUUCUCACAUUUUAAGAAUUAAAGUGAUAAAACCAGGUAUAAACAAUAAACAGGUAAAUCAUGACUGAGGAUAUGCUUUCAAAACAAAUAGAGUGAGGAAAAAUAGUAAAAAUGUCCCUAAGGGUCUCAACAGGUCAGCACAAGGCCCCAGACAUGGCAUACAACCCAAAAUAUAAUAUCAAUCUCUAAAAUAUGGAAUAUCAUAAGAUUUCAAAUCACAUACGCGACUUAACAUUAGUACAGGACGGACCAAUUCACAAUCCCCAACAGUGCACGAUUCCAAACUCUUCAUCUAUAAUGUGUGUCACCUCAUGCAACACAACGAUGUGAAAUUCAGGGUUUCAAACCCUCAGGACAACAUUUACAAUCAUUACUUACCUCGAUCCGGUCCAAACUCUAGCCCGCGAUGCCUUUUCCCUCACUAAUCGACCUCCGUAUGCUCCAAAUCUAGUCACAAUCAAUACAUAACUAUUAAAAUAUACUAAGGGAACAAAUCCCACUCAAAAAUAUCCAAUUUACAUCAAAAAUCCUGAAAUGGCUCAAACCCGGCCUCUGGGACCAUGUCUCGGAAUCUGAUAAAAGUCACAUCAAUAGAAUACUCAUCCUCUCACGAGUCUAUACAUACCAAGAACAUCAAAAUCGGACCUCAAAUGGCCCCUCAAAUCCCAAAUUCCAGGUCUCCAAUUACAAGCCCUAGUUCUUCAAUACUAAGCUUAAAUUCCAUGAUUAAUUAGGUAGAAUUUACAUAAGAAAUGAGUAUAAAGUCCAUAAAUCUUACCUCCAAGUGAUUCUCCUUAAAUCCCUCUUCAAUCCUCUUCAAAAGGUUCCAAAAACGACCAAAAAUGGUGGAAAUAAAACCCCAAAAUUGCGGACAAGACGACUAUUUAAACAUUCUGCCCAGGCCUGAAAUCCUUCUUCGCGAAUGCGGUCAAAGCCUCGCGUUCGCGAAGCACAAAAUUACUUUGACCAAAAUUUCCUCUUCGCGAUUGUGAAAUGCCCAUCGCGAGCGCGAUGCUUCCUCAGACUAAACCUUCAUGAUCGCAUUACACCACUCGCGAACGCGAUGAAUAAAAAUGCCUCAAGUCCAGCUGACCAAAUUUCUCUACGCGAACGCGGUCACUCUACAAGAACGCGAUGACCAAACAUCCAGCCCUUCGCAAACGCGUAGCCUUCCUCGUGAACGUGAAGGCUUAACUCCCAGCCUUCACCAACUAACCCUUCGCGAACGCGAGGGCCUACUCGCGAACGCGAAGGCCAUUUCUCUGCAACACUGAUCAACAAUUUUCUACAAUUCCAAACAAUAUGCAAUGGUCCGAUUGACCACCCGAAACUCACCCGAGGCCCUCGGGAUCUCAACCAAAUAUGUCAUCAUAUCCCAUAACCUCAUUCAAACUUGUUCCAACCUUUAUAACGCUCAAAGCAAUAUCAAAACACCAAAAUCACAUCGGAUUCAAGCCGAAGAAUUCCAAGAACUUCCAAAUUACGCAAAACCCAACCAAACCACGUCCGAAUGACCUGAAAUUUUUCACACACAUCACAAAUGACACAACGGAGCUACUGCAACUUCCGGAAUUCCAUUCCGACCCCUAUAUCAAAAUCUCUCCUAUCAACCGGAAAACGCCAAAAUUUCAAUUUCGCCAAUUCAAGCCUAAACCUUCUACGGACUUCCAAAAUGCAUUCCGAUCACGCUCCUAAGUCCCAAAUUACCUAACAGAGAUAACCAAAUCAUAAAAAUUCCGAUCCGAGAUCAUAUACCAACAAGUCAAAUCUUAGUCAAACUUUUCAAAUUUCAAGCUUCAAACUGAGAACUGUUCUUCCAAAUUCAUUCUGAUUACCCUGAAAACCAAAACCAACGAUUUACAUAAGUCAUAAUCUAUCACACGGGGCAAGUCAUGCCCGAGAACUGGCGAUCAAGGUGCAAUAGCUCAAAACGACCGGUCGGGUCGUUACAAAUUUGACUGUUGAUGAUGGCUUUUUUUCAAAUCACACUACUAAGAUCAUUGAAUGUUGAAUUCAUUGUUUGGAAGAGACAAAGUUAACAAUUGCCUAAGGCUUAACUAGAGUUAAACAUUCACAUUCCAAUUACCGAAUGUGGUUCAAGAUUUGCACCAGACAAAUUAAGGUAAAAUCUUGAUCACAAUAGCAAUACAGGAUUUCAUAUGCAAUAACAUCUGUUAUUUUUGCAAAGGGGACAAGAAUAGAAAGAUGAAUGCAGCUAAACAUAAACAACAAAAGCCAAAGUUGCCAACUUAAAUGAAGGACAACCUGAGAUUGACGUCAGUGCUAAAAUAAUUAACAAGAUAAUGAAUUGUCAUACCGGUAGUAUCCCAGAGACCCAAAUUCACAAUCUUCCUAUCUCAAUAAGCAGACAUGACUAUUUUCCUUAUAGAUUAUAAUAUUUUACCAAUUUAGCACAUGAAACAACACCUACUACACAUGAUUUCACUUUCAGAAAAAUGGAAACACACAUCUAUCUCAAAUGUUCAACAAUCAAACCAACCAGUUAUUGUUAGGCAAAUUUCCUUUAUUCUUUUAGAUGUGAACAAAAUGAGGAAACAUUUAGAGUUAUAUGAAGGUAUUAUUCAAUUUCUUGUAUUGAUAAGGUUCUAUAUCACUUCAAUCAACUGAACUAAAAUAAAAAUCGACAAAUCCGUACCGUGAACGAACAGAAAACAUCAAAAAACAAUUCCACCAUAUAUACACAAAUAAAUUUCAGCAAAUUUAUAGCACAUGGAGGUCCAAACAGCCAUUACAUUUCGAGAUUGAGAUAAAUACCUCUAAACGGCAGUAGAGAUAAACUUGAAUAACCAAAUAAAGGCGACGGGAAAGCUAGAGCUCAGCGAAAGUAGAAACAACAAAACACAUCUUCAACUUCUAAAAUCAAAAUCAAAACUCAAACACCCAGAAUUGGAGAGAUAAAGCAACAAAAAUCAGCAAAGCCUUCGAAACUCCAUGUUCUCUCGAUUUUCUUCUAGUUUUGAAACCUCUUUUCUCAUUUUCAGCUUUCAAAAUCUUUCAGAACUUCCAAUUUCUUGUUUUUUUUUGUUUGUUGCUAAAUGCUUUUGUGUGUGUGUAUUUUUUAUAUGUGCAGGGAAGUGAAAUGGAUGGCUGACUGAGAAGUCGAUGUACUAGGACCUAUGGCUGGGGAUUUUUGUUUUCAGGAAGGGGGAAGCCUGCUCAUUAUUUCUGAUCAGCGAGAGAGGGGAGUCCAUUCUUUUAGGGUAGUAAUGGCGUUGGUCCUCUUUUUGUUUUAAGGGGAUCUGA
rnacentral:lncRNA from 1 species